rnacentral:tRNA from 1 species
GACCAUGUAGCUCAGUUGGUAGAGCAUUGGACUAGUAUCCCAAAGGUCGCAGGUUCGAUUCCCACCGUGGCCA